rnacentral:tRNA from 1 species
GGCCGGCUGGCGCAAUGGUAGCGCUUCAGACUUCUAUUGAAUAGUAAUCUGGAGGUUGUGGGUUCGAGCCCCACGUCGGUCA